rnacentral:sRNA from 1 species
GCCGGGCGAGGUGGCGGGCGCCUGUAGUCCCAGCUACUCUGGAGGCUGAGUCAGGAGAAUGGCGUGAACCCGGGAGGCGGAGCUUGCAGUGAGCUGAGAUCCGGCCACUGCACUCCAGCCUGGGCGACAGAGCGAGACUCUGUCUCAAAAAAAAAAAAAAAAAAAAAAGACAGAGUCUCGCUCUGCCACCCAGGCUGGAGUGCAAUGGCACGAUCUCGGCUCACUACAACCUCUGCCCCCUGGGUUCAAGCGAUUCUCCUGCCUCAG